rnacentral:rRNA from 1 species
AUUGAACGCUGGCGGCAGGCUUAACACAUGCAAGUCGAGCGAGCGGCGGACGGGUGAGUAAUGUCUGGGAAACUGCCUGAUGGAGGGGGAUAACUACUGGAAACGGUAGCUAAUACCGCAUACCAUCAGAUGUGCCCAGAUGGGAUUAGCUAGUAGGUGGGGUAAUGGCUCACCUAGGCGAAGAUCCCUAGCUGGUCUGAGAGGAUGACAAGCCACACGGGAACUUAGACACGGUCCAGAGUCUGACGGGAGGCAGCAGUGGGGAAUAUGACACAGUGGGCGCAAGCCGGAUGCAGCCAUGACGCGUGUGUGAAGAAGGCCUUCGGGUUGUAAAGCACUUUCAGCGAGGAGGCGUUACUCGCAGAAGAAGCACCGGCUAACUCCGUGCCAGCAGCCGCGGUAAUUC